CCUGCGCCGGCGUCCCUCCGCUUUCCAGUCCGGCUCGGCCCCGGCUCCUGUACUUUCCGUCCGACCCUCUCGCGGUCUGCUCCGGCUCCUGAACGCACUUCCGCCCGCCCUCUGACCCGCAGUCCGCGCCUGUGCACCUCGCGGUACAGUGGCUCUCCGGGGGCGUCUAGCAGGGGCUGGGGGUAGUGCCUUCCGCAGUUCCUCUCCUAGAGAUUGGAGAGGCGCGGGGGGACCAGCGAUGUCGGCCUUCCGCUUGCUCAGCAAGAGCUGCUCAGGUCCCCGCCACUGACGGAUGAUUGAAGGCUGGGCAUCAGCCUGGUAGGGGAGUUCGUCCCCUCAGUGUCCUCAUGCCUUAAAGGAGGAAGCCGAGGCGCGGGGAUGGGGAAGAACCCAGCUGUUCUGGACUCCGCCCCCUCGCUGCUGUGGGGCUUGUUGCCAGUGCUGCCUGGAGCCCCUCAACCGCGGGCUGAGCUUCGUCGUGAGCGGAGAACCUUCUCACGCUGCCCUUUCCCUCCCCGUCCAGCCCGCCGACCAUGCCCGCGGGCGUGCCCUUGGCCACCUACCUGAAAAUGUUCGCAGCCAGCCUCCUAGCCAUGUGCGCGGGGGCCGAAGUGGUGCACAGGUACUACCGGCCGGACCUGACAAUACCUGAAAUUCCACCGAAGCCUGGAGAACUCAAAACAGAGCUUUUGGGACUGAAAGAGAGACAACAUGAACCUCAAAUUUCUCAGCAGUAGACACUUAAAUACAACUAUGCCAAGAAUUCUGUGAAUAAUAUUAUAUCUCAAGUACAGAGUAAAUGGUCUGGCUACUGACAAUCAUGAUUUGAACCCAUCGCCUACAAGACAAUGACUUAAUGAAGGCAAAAAUUAACUUUAGUUACUAAAAUAUUUACUAAAAAUGCCAUCUUUAUUUCAGUAAGUGCUGGUUCUAAGUGACUUCUGCCAAGGUACGUAUUUUCUUCUUCUUUUGAAGUUGACCCCCAUUGUGAAAAAUGUACAUUGUGGUGGGUGUGGAAAUGUGUCAUCUAGAUUUUCUAAGGGAGGCUUGUCCCCCCAGCACUAGGAGUGCUGUCAGUGAGCGGCUUUUGGUUGUCAGCUUCUGCAAAGAUUGCCUUGGCUAGUUUCCUUGCUCAAAGCCGCGCCUUCUGAAGGGGCCCAUAUCCAAUCACUGAUGCAGGUGAGUAGAAAGGCCUGGCCAUUUCAGCACACCAUGAGGGAUGGGCAUAGUUCCACAACUCCCUGAGGGGGUUACUAACACUGUCUUUGGGCCUGCAUUGCAGCUUAAUUUCUCCUGCUCAAUCCCAUUUCCUGUCCUUCCACAGGUGUUCAUCUGAGGGCACUCCUUAAUAAACACUCUAUAUCUUAAAA